rnacentral:rRNA from 1 species
AUGAUUUUAGUGCUUGCACUAAAUGAAACUAGAUACAAGCGAGCGGCGGACGGGUGAGUAACACGUGGGUAACCUGCCCAAGAGACUGGGAUAACACCUGGAAACAGAUGCUAAUACCGGAUAACAACACUAGACGCAUGUCUAGAGUUUGAAAGAUGGUUCUGCUAUCACUCUUGGAUGGACCUGCGGUGCAUUAGCUAGUUGGUAAGGUAACGGCUUACCAAGGCAAUGAUGCAUAGCCGAGUUGAGAGACUGAUCGGCCACAUUGGGACUGAGACACGGCCCAAACUCCUACGGGAGGCAGCAGUAGGGAAUCUUCCACAAUGGACGAAAGUCUGAUGGAGCAACGCCGCGUGAGUGAAGAAGGGUUUCGGCUCGUAAAGCUCUGUUGGUAGUGAAGAAAGAUAGAGGUAGUAACUGGCCUUUAUUUGACGGUAAUUACUUAGAAAGUCACGGCUAACUACGUGCCAGCAGCCGCGGUAAUACGUAGGUGGCAAGCGUUGUCCGGAUUUAUUGGGCGUAAAGCGAGUGCAGGCGGUUCAAUAAGUCUGAUGUGAAAGCCUUCGGCUCAACCGGAGAAUUGCAUCAGAAACUGUUGAACUUGAGUGCAGAAAGAGGAGAGUGGAACUCCAUGGGUA